rfam:Myotis davidii contig114363, whole genome shotgun sequence.
AUCGCUUCUCGGCCUUUUGGCUAAGAUCAAGUGUAAUAUUAUGUAUAUAAAAUCUUUCCCUGUAUUGCUUCUUCAACCUCAU